rnacentral:misc_RNA from 1 species
UUGACGGUUGAUGAUGCGGAUGGUUGUCUUGUGAAUGGAUGCGCAUGAAGUUGAGCCUUACUUGUUUGCGUGGACUUGGUUUGCUUUACCUUGCGUGGGAUUGCUACUUGUUGUGAGGUUAGUAAUUUGUUGCUUUCCUUAUGUUGCCUUGCCGUGAAUGGUCACUUGUUGCUUGUAUAUUGCGCAUGGGAUGUUGUUGCCGUGAAU